AAAACUCAGAAAGUGCUUAUAUAAACUAGGAGGCAAUCAGAGUCUCUGAACACAGACAUCCAGGGAGAAGAAAACACACUGUACAGAGAAAUACGGGCCACAUCAUGCUCUCCAGUCUGCUGCUGGUGUUCAUAGCCAUCAUCUACUCUGGACACACUGCAACACAGAAAGUGACUCAAGUCCAGACGGCUCUGUCGAGGCCAGAGGGGAAAGCAGCCACCCUGGACUGUUCCUAUGAGACAAGUGUAGCCCUGUAUGAUUUGUUUUGGUACCAGCAGCUUCUCAGUGGAGAGAUGGUUCUACUUAUUCAUCAGAGUUACUCUGGUAAUAAUGCAAACACUGGCCGCUAUUCUGGGAAUUUCCAGAAAAGAGCUAAGACAAUCGUCCUCACCAUUUCAGCCUUGCAAAUGGAAGAUUUUGCAACAUAUUUCUGUGCUCUUUGGGAAUGCACAGUGCUUGCAGUGACAAUAAAAGCUGAACAAAAACUCAGGAGCUCCAUAAGAGACAGGCCCUGUUGUGGGAGUCCAGCUGAGACUCCCACCUGCAGAUUCCACACCAGAAGGGAGCCUGGUGGUUGCUUCAUCUGCGGUCUGGAUCAGAAGAUUCAGUUCUAAGUUAAUCCCGUUUCUGAUUUUUUUAGAAACUGGUGUCAGGAAACACUUCUAACGCAUUCUACUUGAAUGUUUGAGUGAAAAAUACAGAAGUUGGGUAAAGUUGUCUAAAGUUGGAAUAUUUAGCUCAUAAUUAUUUCAUAUGUUGGUUUCACUUACAGAGGGUCUCAGCAUAAAUCUGGAUCUGGUCAUCUGGAAUAGUAAUGCUAAUCAUUUCCUUAGACUCUCUUAGGUUUUAGAUCAGUUAGGUGCAAUCUGGGCAGUAGUACCACCAGAGUGAUUUAAAUAAGACAGGAAUUAUGCAGAAUAGGCCUCUGCAAUUGCUGGAGCUGCUGAGGGAGUCUCUGUGAAGCUUUUGUCCUCACAUCUGGUAAUGAGCCUGAACUGACUUAAUGUGAGCCAGACCCACAUUUGGGAAUGGAAUUUGGAUGAAGAUAAACACAUACAGAGACUGUGACUUGAAAGAAUAUUAUGGGACCUAUUAAGACAACUGAAAUCUACAAGGGAAAAUUAAAACUUGAGAUCUCCUUCAUCUCACUUGUUGGAUGACUUUCAAGAGAACAAAAACCAUUGGCCAUCACAGUCCAUGAACACUUGGGCUAAGACAAAAAGGAAGUGAAGAAGAAGUUGUAAUGGGAAGUAGAAGAGAUGCGUUAACUGGAAAAUGAGCUGACAGAUUUAUGACAACAUGUGCGAGCUGCCCAAGUGCAUGUAGCCCUAAAACUGCAGAGCUGCUAAGAAAUAGCUGCUGAAUCACACUGACCUUUCAUGUCUUGUACCACUUUUUUUAUGACCGACCCUAAACCAGAAAAAUAUAUGCAAGCAAAUUCUAGGAAAUAUGUAUCUAGAGGGUUCAGUUGAGACAUGUUAAAGCUACUGCAGUGCACCCUUAUCAGCUUGACAUCCAUAUAUACUUCCUUUAACAACAUUUAAAGUUUAUAUGAAAACAACAGAACAAUCAUGGCUCCUACUAAUGAGACGCAGCUAUCCCUUAUCAACCAAAACUGUGCCUAUCUU